ACGGGUGAGUAACACGUGGGCAAUCUGCCCUUCACUCUGGGACAAGCCCUGGAAACGGGGUCUAAUACCGGAUAACACUGCGGAUCGCAUGGUCUGCGGUUAAAAGCUCCGGCGGUGAAGGAUGAGCCCGCGGCCUAUCAGCUUGUUGGUGAGGUAAUGGCUCACCAAGGCGACGACGGGUAGCCGGCCUGAGAGGGCGACCGGCCACACUGGGACUGAGACACGGCCCAGACUCCUACGGGAGGCAGCAGUGGGGAAUAUUGCACAAUGGGCGAAAGCCUGAUGCAGCGACGCCGCGUGAGGGAUGACGGCCUUCGGGUUGUAAACCUCUUUCAGCAGGGAAGAAGCGAAAGUGACGGUACCUGCAGAAGAAGCGCCGGCUAACUACGUGCCAGCAGCCGCGGUAAUACGUAGGGCGCAAGCGUUGUCCGGAAUUAUUGGGCGUAAAGAGCUCGUAGGCGGCUUGUCACGUCGAUUGUGAAAGCCCGAGGCUUAACCUCGGGUCUGCAGUCGAUACGGGCUAGCUAGAGUUCGGUAGGGGAGAUCGGAAUUCCUGGUGUAGCGGUGAAAUGCGCAGAUAUCAGGAGGAACACCGGUGGCGAAGGCGGAUCUCUGGGCCGAUACUGACGCUGAGGAGCGAAAGCGUGGGGAGCGAACAGGAUUAGAUACCCUGGUAGUCCACGCCGUAAACGGUGGGCACUAGGUGUGGGCAACAUUCCACGUUGUCCGUGCCGCAGCUAACGCAUUAAGUGCCCCGCCUGGGGAGUACGGCCGCAAGGCUAAAACUCAAAGGAAUUGACGGGGGCCCGCACAAGCGGCGGAGCAUGUGGCUUAAUUCGACGCAACGCGAAGAACCUUACCAAGGCUUGACAUACACCGGAAAGCACCAGAGAUGGUGCCCCCCUUGUGGUCGGUGUACAGGUGGUGCAUGGC
rnacentral:rRNA from 1 species